GACGAACGCUGGCGGCGUGCCUAACACAUGCAAGUCGAGCGAAGUGAGUACUACGGUACGAACUUAGCGGCGGACGGGUGAGUAACGCGUGGACAAUCUACCCUGUAGACUGGGAUAACACCUCGAAAGGGGUGCUAAUACCGGAUAAUGUCGAGAAGCGGCAUCGCUUUUCGAAGAAAGGAGAGAAUCCGCUAUAGGAGGAGUCCGCGUCCCAUUAGCUAGUUGGUGAGGGUAACGGCCCACCAAGGCGACGAUGGGUAGCCGGCCUGAGAGGGUGAACGGCCACAUUGGAACUGAGACACGGUCCAGACUCCUACGGGAGGCAGCAGUGGGGAAUAUUGUGCAAUGGGGGAAACCCUGACACAGCAACGCCGUGUGAGCGAAGAAGGCCUUCGGGUUGUAAAGCUCAAUAGUAUGGGAAGAUAAUGACGGUACCAUACGAAAGCCCCGGCUAACUACGUGCCAGCCGCCGCCGUAACAC
rnacentral:rRNA from 1 species